UGCCCGAGCAAAUAGAUUUGAGUAUUUACUAAAGCAGACAGAGCUGUUUGCACAUUUCAUUCAGCCUGCUGCUCAGAAGACUGCAACCUCACCCUUAAGAUGAAACCAGGGCUCCCACGGGUAAAAAAGGAUGAAAAACAGAAUUUGCUCUCAGUUGUCGACUACCGACACCGUCGGACAGAGCAAGAGGAGGAUGAAGAACUAUUAACAGAAAGCUCUAAAGCAACUAAUGUCUGUACCCGAUUUGAAGAUUCUCCAUCAUAUGUAAAAUGGGGUAUACUGAGAGAUGAUCAGGUCCGAGGAUUGAAUUGGCUCAUCUCUCUGUAUGAAAAUGGCAUCAAUGGCAUCCUUGCAGAUGAAAUGGGUUUGGGAAAGACACUUCAAACAAUUUCUCUCCUUGGGUACAUGAAACACUAUAGAAAUAUUCCUGGUCCUCAUAUGGUUUUGGUUCCCAAGUCUACAUUGCACAACUGGGCUUCAUUUGUCAGGGAUGUUUUAUUACCAGGAGAGUGGGAUGUGUGUCACAUCUUAUGAAAUGCUCAUUAAAGAGAAGUCUGUGUUCAAAAAGUUUAACUGGAGAUACUUAUAGACGAAGCUCACAGGAUAAAAAAUGAAAAAUCUAAGGACUUUGAUUCCUGGUUCGAUACAAAUAAUUGCCUUGGGAUUCAAAAGCUUGUUGAGGGGCUUCAUAUGAAUUUCUGAGUUCUUUUUACAUGGCCUAAGACUUGUAUCUACCACCUUCUUUAUUGACCAUCUAGACUGAGGCUGGACUGGGUACUUUGUUCAUUCCAUCUUUUGUCACGCCACCACGGAAGGUAAGUGAGACAGAUGUGCCCUGUAAGUAAUUCAAGUACACUUUGAAAGACCGUCCGUCUUCUUUGGAGAAGUUUUAGGGGCCUGAUGGAAAUUUCGCAACUGUUGUUUUCUAAGUCACAAGCAGCAGAAUUACAAAGAUGCUAGCUUUGUAGAGCUGUGGGAAUUUUACGCUUUCCACUCAUUGUGGUUACUAUAGAUAGACAUGAUUACUUAACAAAUUCAGAGGUUGUCCGUCCUUCCACUCUCUUUAGAAUGAAGGAAAUGUGGCUUAGCUGAGCAUGGUGGUGACACCUUUAAUCCCAGCAUUCAGGAGGCAGAAGCAGGAGGGUCUCUGAGUUCAAGGCCAGCCUGGUCUACAUAGAGAACUCCAGACUAGCCAGCUCUACAUAGAGACCCUCUGCAGAAAAGACAGAAAAAGAAAAAUAUGUCUGGAGAGAUGGCUCGAG